AAUAGAUACCCGGGUAGUCCACGCUGUAAACGAUGUGCACUAGAUGGUGGGAAUGUGGACCAUUUCCGUAUCAAAGCUAACGCAUUAAGUGCACCGCCUGGGGAGUACGGUCGCAAGACUAAAACUCAAAGGGAAUUGACGGGGGCCCGCACAAGCGGUGGAUUAUGUGGUUUAAUUCGAAGCAACGCGCAGAACCUUACCUAGGCUUGAAGUCCCACGAACCCGGCCCAAAGCUGGGGUGCCCUUUGGGGAAUGUGGUGAUAGGCGCUGCAUGGCUGUCGUCAGCUCGUGUCGUGAGAUGUUGGGUUAAGUCUCGCAACGAGCGCAACCCCUAUCCUUAGUUGCCAGCAUUAAGUUGGGCACUCUAGGGGAGACUGCCUGGGUUAACCAGGAGGAAGAUGGGGAUGACGUCAAGUCCUCAUGGCCCUUAUGUCUAGGGCUACACACGUAAUACAAUGGCACAUACAAAGGGAAGCGAACUCGGCGAGGGGGAGCAAAUCUCAAAAAGUGUGUCUCAGUCCGGAUUGGAGU
rnacentral:rRNA from 1 species